rnacentral:rRNA from 1 species
CUGGUUGAUCCUGCCAGUUGUCAUAUGCUUCGUUCAAGGACUAAGCCAUGCAAAUGUCAGUGGACCUGAGUUCACUCGGGGGGACUGUGUACGGCUCAUUAAACGGUUAAUAGUCUACCCAACAGCGAGGGUAUUCGUACCCUCCGACGGGAUAUAACCGCCCUAACCGGGCAGCUAAUACCUGGAAGACCAAUCCUGGACCACUCCACCACCUGCGGGGAAACCCGCGGGUGGGGUCCAGGAUGCUAUUGGCCGGAACAAGGACUAACGCCCUCACGGGCAGAUGUAAUUGUUGACGCAGGCCAAUGUAGCGGAAGCGCUUCGGCGCGGUGUUGGACGAAUUCACCACCUAUCAGGUUGAAGGUAGUGUAGUGGACUACCUUGCCUCUGACGGGUAACGGAGGAUUGGGGUUCGAUUCCGGAGAGGGUGCCUGAGAAACGGCAACCAUGACUACGGUCAGCAGCAGGCGCGCAAAUUGCCCAAUGCUAACACAUAGCGAGGCAGCGACGAAAAAUAGUAUACCUGCGGCCUUCGGGUCUCAGGAUGCAAUGAUUUGUAUCUAAUACACACUACUGAGCAACUAUUGGAGGGCAAGUCUGGUGCCAGCAGCCGCGGUAAUUCCAGCUCCAAGAGCGUAUAUAAAUGUUGUUGCGGUUAAAAAGCCCGUAGUUGGAUUUGAGAGCAAGACCUGUGGGCGCCCCUGCAUUGCCUUCUGGUAGUGUGGGAUUCGCGUCCACGCAUGGGCCAUGCUCUGAUGCAUGCGGGAUCGUUCACUGGCUGAGGGCUCAUUCACUUGGGUCUAAGGCAAUUUCGGAGGGUUCAUACUCCGUAAGGUGCGCCCGCAGACGCCACUGUGAGUAAACCAGAGUGUUCAAGGCAACCAUCGUGCGUGGUUGAAUGUUAAAGCAUGGAAUGGCAAGGGAUCGACCUUCGGGGCCUCUUUUUGUUGGUUCUUAAGCUCUGUUAGGGGAAUCUUGCGGUCGAGUGCCGGCAUGGCCUUGUGCUAAUGUCGGUUCGGCCGCGCACGGGAUCAAUAGGAGCACAGGGGGCCAUGGGUACUGGAGGGCUAGUGGUGAAAUACUUAGACCCCUCCAAGACCGACAUCAGCGAAAGCACUUGGCUAUUGUGCUUUCAUUAAUCAAGGACGAGAGAUCGGGGAUGGAAGAGGAUUAGACACCCUCGUAAUCCGUUCUGUAAAUUCUGCAGACUUGGGAUCGGUCAGCGCUCACUUCUAGACCUGAUCGGCACCUUACUCCUCUAUCGAGAAAUCAAAGUUUUUGUGUUCCGGGGGGAGUAUAUUCGCAAGGCUGAAACUUAAAGGAAUUGACGGAGAACCACCACCAGUCGUGGAGUGUGUGGCUUAAUUCGACUCAACACGGGAAAUUUUACCAGGCCAGGACGUGGUAAGGAUUGCCAGAUUGAUAGCUCUUGCAUGAUUCCGCGAAGGGUGGUGCAUGGCCGCUUCUGGUUGGUGAAGUGAUUUGUCUGCUUAAUUGCGUUAACGAACGAGAUCUCUGCCAAUUACUAGAUGCCUGUGUCGUCUUAGGUUGCGGGCCGUGGAAUCUUCGGAAACCUCGGUAAUCUGCGCUGAGACACAGGAGAUUUACUUAUUGGGAUUAUGCGUUUUAAGCGCAUUGAAACAAGAGCCCAAAGCAGGUCUGUGAUGCUCCUAUAUGUUCUGGGCUGCACGCGCACUACACUGAUUCAGCCAACGAGCUUCUGCCUCAUAGGCAGCCUGGUCCGAAGGGAUUGGGGAAUCUUUUGAGACUGAGUCGUGAUGGGGAUUGAUGCUUGUAAUUAUUCUCCAUGAACGAGGAAUGUCUUGUAUCCGCGUUUCAUCAGAACGCAGAGAAUACGUCCCUGGUUCUUGUACACACCGCCCGUCGUUGCCUGUGAUGGAUUGUGAGUAGAGCCAUCUGGAGGUGGCUGGUGGGGCAACUUACCAGAUCGCCGAAAUUUGGCAAUACUCACUGUCUAGAAGAGGCAAAAGUCGUAACAAGGUAGCUGUAGGUGA